rnacentral:rRNA from 1 species
GGGAGGUAGUGACAAUAAAUAACAAUGCAGGAUUCUUUGAAUCUUGUAAUUGGAAUGAGUACAAUUUAAAUCUCUUAACGAGGAACAAUUGGAGGGCAAGUCUGGUGCCAGCAGCCGCGGUAAUUCCAGCUCCAAUAGCGUAUAUUAAAGUUGUUGCAGUUAAAAAGCUCGUAGUUGAAUUUCGGGAUCAAUACGUCGGUCAUGCUUUUUGGUACGAACUGGCGUCAUUGGUUUCUCCUUUCUGACGAACCAUGAUGUCAUUAAUUUGGUGUUAUGGGGAGUUGGGACUGUUACUUUGAAAAAAUUAGAGUGUUUAAAGCAGGCAUAAGCUUGAAUACAUUAGCAUGGAAUAAUGAAAUAGGACGUUUGAUCCUAUUUUGUUGGUUUCUAGGAUCAACGUAAUGAUUAAUAGGGAUAGUUGGG